rnacentral:misc_RNA from 1 species
GAUGAAGAACGUAGCGAAAUGCGAUACGUAAUGUGAAUUGCAGAAUUCAGUGAAUCAUCGAAUCUUUGAACGCAUAUUGCGCUCUCUGGUAUUCCGGAGAGCAUGCUUGUUUGAGUAUCAGUAAACACCUCAACUUCCAUAUCUUUUUUUGAAAUGGGAGUUGGACUUGAGUGAUCCCAACGCUUUUCCUCACCGAAAAGUGGCGGGUUACUUGAAAUGCAGGUGCAGCUGGACUUUUCUCUGAGCUAUAAGCAUAUCUAUUUAGUCUGCCUAAAAAACAGAUUAUUACCUUUGCUGCAGCUAACAUAAAGGAGAUUAGUUCUUGUGCUGACUGAUGCAGGAUUCACAAAGACAGCUUCGGCCGACUUUGUAAACUCGAUCUCAAAUCAAGUAAGACUACCCGCUGAACUUAAGCAUAUCAUUAAGCGGAGGA